CAGAAGAAUCUGUAAAGCUCAGGAGGGAUAGCGCCAUGAUUCUCACAUCAUAGUGUUCUUUGGCGCUAUCUAUCCUGAGUUUCACGGCUUCUUCUU
rnacentral:pre_miRNA from 1 species